GACGAACGCUGGCGGCGUGCCUAAUACAUGCAAGUCGAACGCUUCUUUCCUCCCGAGUGCUUGCACUCAAUUGGAAAGAGGAGUGGCGGACGGGUGAGUAACACGUGGGUAACCUACCCAUCAGAGGGGGAUAACACUUGGAAACAGGUGCUAAUACCGCAUAACAGUUUAUGCCGCAUGGCAUAAGAGUGAAAGGCGCUUUCGGGUGUCGCUGAUGGAUGGACCCGCGGUGCAUUAGCUAGUUGGUGAGGUAACGGCUCACCAAGGCCACGAUGCAUAGCCGACCUGAGAGGGUGAUCGGCCACACUGGGCCUGAGACACGGCCCAGACUCCUACGGGAGGCAGCAGUAGGGAAUCUUCGGCAAUGGACGAAAGUCUGACCGAGCAACGCCGCGUGAGUGAAGAAGGUUUUCGGAUCGUAAAACUCUGUUGUUAGAGAAGAACAAGGACGUUAGUAACUGAACGUCCCCUGACGGUAUCUAACCAGAAAGACACGGCUAACUACGU
rnacentral:rRNA from 1 species